UCGUAAUUGCCCAUCCGUCGGGACUGCAUGACUUUUCAUUCUGCCAUCCUCAGCUCUGCCAACUCGAUAUUUCAGGUACAGUUCAAAUCUAUGUAUUUAGUUUAGUCUAGCACUCCUUUGAGAAAGAAUCCUUUCUGCUGCCAACUUAAUUGAUAAGCCUUAAUCUGUUAAUUACUUUGUUGGCUCAGUUUACUGAAUUAAAUCGAAUCCUGUUUGAAACAGGCAAAUUACGUUGUUGUUACCUUGAACAACCUUGUACUUCACGCAGUCAGAAUGUCAAUCAACUUGAGGAAUAUCUCUGCAAUAUUGGAUUUAUUGUCAAUAAGAUUUUUGCGCAUGAUGCCAAGAAUGCACGUAGCACUGAAGACGAGACUUGGAAUUACAAACAAUUAGUUUCCAACUUAGCAAAUCUAAAUCUAAUUGUCAGAUUUAUGUCGGUUCGUUCCUGCCCCAACAAUUUUUUUUACAUCCUUUUAGGUACUCACUGGUACAUUUUAACAUGCGCACAUUUGUGAUUCAUUCUAAGUUGUCAAAUUUACAUAAUCUUUCAAGAAUAUCUUCUUAGCAAUUUUUGACGUUAUGUAUUUCUAAUGGUAAAAGGGGUUUAUUAAUCCCACAAAAACUGUGUGCCGCAUGUAUUGUACAUGUAUGCGGUAUGGUUCUGAUAAUCUCAGCUUUUAUUAUUACUUAUUUACGUUGUAAAAUUUCGGGUAAUAACUUGGCAAAUACGCCACGCUGCUCAAACUAGUUUUACCAUUUGCCAAUGAUGAAUAAAUGGGACCCUUUAUUUUAUUUAUUCAAGUAUUCAAUGCCAAGGUCAACGUAUGUAAACAAUAGUGACAUAAAACGGGAGAUAAUUUGCUAUCAAUCUCAGGAUGACUUACAAUUAACUGAAUGUAGAACAUGUAGAAUAUAGUUUGUAGUAUACACACAACAAAAAAUCAAGUAAUUUCGUCAUGUGGCGUAUCUAUUUUUGGAAGGUAUUCAUGUUCACACUUCCAGCAAAAAACAAAAUUUGACAAACUGCAAUGACUUUGAAGAAGUGCUGAAUAUUUUCACAAUGUAGUGUGAAAUUCCUGGUUUCCAGACUGCAAUAAAAUGCACUUCGAUGUUAUGCACUUGCUUAAGCAAUCCAUAGAGGAAAUAUGAUAUUUCUGUCCUACAAAACCUAAACUUUAAUCAACUAUGAAUUUAUACAUUCAGCACAUUUUAUGUACCCGCUUCGAUGCUAAAGUAUAUAUAUGGUAAUAAUAAUGCAGCGAAAUACUAUAUAAAAAUAUGUAGUAUAA